CGGAGGAAAAGAAACCAACAGGGAUUACCUUAGUAACGGCGAGUGAAGCGGUAAAAGCUCAAAUUUGAAAUCUUCGGAAUUGUAAUUUGACGGGUAGAAUUUGCUUAUAACAAAAGUUCACUGGAACGUGACGCCACAGAGGGUGAUAGCCCCGUUAAUUAUUAGCACUAUAAUUCUAUUCCUAAGAGUCGGGUUGUUUGGGAAUGCAGCUCAAAGUGGGUGGUAAAUUCCAUCUAAAGCUAAAUAUUGGCGAGAGACCGAUAGCGAACAAGUACAGUGAUGGAAAGAUGAAAAGAACUUUGAAAAGAGAGUGAAAUAGUACGUGAAAUUGUUGAAAGGGAAGGGAAAGGGGGAGAUAAUCCAAGACAAUACCUCGGUGUUACUUGGCCACAUCUUGCUCUUUUCACCCGUCUUGAACCACGGACCA
rnacentral:rRNA from 2 species